AAGAGACUAGUUAAAAUUUCAUAAUUUAUGUUUGUCAUACAUGGGUUGCUGUUUAAUUUCAGCGUCUUUUA
rnacentral:tRNA from 1 species